rnacentral:misc_RNA from 1 species
GGGAAAUGCUAUAUAGAAUCUUAGAUUUUGCGAGGGAGAAGAACAUCCAUGUAAUAUCAGAUGAAAUAUUUGCUGGAUCUAAUUAUGGUGGUGAAGAGUUUGUAAGCAUUGCUGAAAUUCUUGAUGAAGAUGAUGCUGACAGGGACAGGGUGCAUAUAAUAUAUGGAUUAUCCAAAGACCUUUCUGUGCCAGGGUUUAGGCUUGGCGUUCUGUAUUCCUUCAAUGAGAAUGUUGUGGCAGCAUCUAAAAAGUUGACAAGAUUUUGUGCCGCUUCGGCACCAACACAGAGCCUAUUAGUUGCAAUGCUUUCAGAUGCUGGGUUCAUCAAGGAUUAUAUGAGAACAAACAGAGAGAGAUUGCGCAAAGUGUUUGACUUAUUUGUGGCAGGUCUAAAACAAUUGGGCAUCGAAUGCAUGAAAAGCAGUGCAGGCCUGUAUUGCUGGGUUAAUAUGAGCGGAUUGAUUGGCCCUUAUAAUGAAAAGGGAGAGCUUGAGCUGUGGGAGAAGCUCUUGAAUGUAGCUAAGAUAAACGUGACUCCAGGGUCAGCUUGCCAUUGUAUUGAACCUGG